rnacentral:rRNA from 1 species
UGAGUACGAAAUGCUACGGCAUUGAAGCAGUCUAUGUCAUACUUCCUAGAAAAGCUUGCACUGUCAUAAACAAAUAAUGCCUGUACCAUAACCGACACAGGUGGGUAGGUAGAGUAUACUAAGGGGCGCGAGAUAACUCUCUCUAAGGAACUCGGCAAAAUGACUCCGUAACUUCGGGAGAAGGAGUGCCUUAUUUAUAAGGUUGCAAUAACAAGAUCCAAGCAACUGUUUAUCAAAAACACAGGUCUCCGCUAAGUCGUAAGACGAUGUAUGGGGGCUGACGCCUGCCCAGUGCCAGAAGGUUAAAGAAGUUGGUUAGCAUUCGCGAAGCUGAUAACUGAAGCCCUGGUGAACGGCGGCCGUAACAAUAACGGUCCUAAGGUAGCGAAACUCCUUGUCGGGUAAGUUCCGACCCGCACGAAAGGCGUAAUGAUUUGGAUACUGUCUCGGAGAGGGGCUCGGUGAAAUAGACUUGUCUGUGAAGAUGCGGACUACCUGCACCUGGACAGAAAGACCCUAUGAAGCUUUACUGUAACUUGAAAUUGAAAUUGGACUUUAUUUGCGCAGUAUAGGUGGGAGGCAUUGAAGAUAUUCUUGCGGGAAUAUUGGAGCCAUCAGUGAGAUACCACUCUUGUAAUGUUAGAUUUCUAACUUUGUAUCAUUAUCUGGUCAAAGAACAGUUUCAGGCGGGCAGUUUGACUGGGGCGGUCGCCUCCCAAAUGGUAACGGAGGCGCACAAAGGUUUCCUCUGAACGGGUAGAAAUCGUAUCUAGAGUGUAAAGGCAUAAGGAAGCUUGACUGUGAGACCUACAAGUCGAGCAGGGACGAAAGUCGGUCUUAGUGAUCUGACGGUGCUGAGUGGAAAGGCCGUCACUCAACGGAUAAAAGUUACUCUAGGAUAACAGGCUGAUCUCCCCCAAGAGUUCACAUCGACGGGGAGGUUUGGCACCUCGAUGUCGGCUCAUCGCAUCCUGGGGCGGUAGUACGUCCCAAGGGUUGGGCUGUUCGCCCAUGAAAGCGGUACGCGAGCUGGGUUCAGAACGUCGUGAGACAGUUCGGUCCAUAUCCGGUGUAGGCGUUAGAAUAUUGAGAGGAGCCUUCUUUAGUACGAGAGGACCGAGAAGGACAUACCUCUGGUGUACCAGUUAUUGUGCCAACGGUAAACGCUGGGUAGCUAUGUAUGGAGAGGAUAACCGCUGAAAGCAUCUAAGUGGGAAGCCCACCUCAAGAUAAGUAUUCU